GUGCUCACUUCGGCAGCACAUAUACUAAAAUUGGAAUGAUACAGAGAAGAUUAACAUGGCCCCUGCACAAGGAUGACACACAAAUUCAUGAAACAUUCCAUAUUUUU
rnacentral:snRNA from 1 species